CUUCGACCUCUAAAUCAGGUAGUGGCUACCCGUCUGCAAUCUUAACGCAUAUCAAUAAUGCGAGAGGAAA
rnacentral:rRNA from 1 species